GAUGAACGCUGGCGGCGUGCUUAACACAUGCAAGUCGAACGAUGAAGCUGGAGCUUGCUCUGGUGGAUUAGUGGCGAACGGGUGAGUAACACGUGAGCAACCUGCCCCUGACUCUGGGAUAACAGCCGGAAACGGCUGCUAAUACCGGAUAUGCACCAUGAACGCAUGUUCUGUGGUGGGAAAGAUUUUUCGGUUGGGGAUGGGCUCGCGGCCUAUCAGCUUGUUGGUGAGGUAAUGGCUCACCAAGGCGUCGACGGGUAGCCGGCCUGAGAGGGUGACCGGCCACACUGGGACUGAGACACGGCCCAGACUCCUACGGGAGGCAGCAGUGGGGAAUAUUGCACAAUGGGCGAAAGCCUGAUGCGGCAACGCCGCGUGAGGGAUGACGGCCUUCGGGUUGUAAACCUCUUUUAGCAGGGAAGAAGCGAGAGUGACGGUACCUGCAGAAAAAGCGCCGGCUAACUACGUG
rnacentral:rRNA from 1 species